rnacentral:rRNA from 1 species
AGAGUUUGAUCAUGGCUCAGAACGAACGCUGGCGGCAGGCCUAACACAUGCAAGUCGAACGUGAAGCCACCUUCGGGUGGUGGAAAGUGGCAGACGGGUGAGUAACGCGUGGGAACGUGCCUUUCGGUUCGGAAUAACCCAGGGAAACUUGUGCUAAUACCGGAUAAGCCCUUACGGGGAAAGAUUUAUCGCCGAAAGAUCGGCCCGCGUCUGAUUAGCUAGUUGGUGAGGUAACGGCUCACCAAGGCGACGAUCAGUAGCUGGUCUGAGAGGAUGAUCAGCCACAUUGGGACUGAGACACGGCCCAAACUCCUACGGGAGGCAGCAGUGGGGAAUAUUGGACAAUGGGGGCAACCCUGAUCCAGCCAUGCCGCGUGAGUGAUGAAGGCCCUAGGGUUGUAAAGCUCUUUUGUGCGGGAAGAUAAUGACGGUACCGCAAGAAUAAGCCCCGGCUAACUUCGUGCCAGCAGCCGCGGUAAUACGAAGGGGGCUAGCGUUGCUCGGAAUCACUGGGCGUAAAGGGUGCGUAGGCGGGUCUUUAAGUCAGGGGUGAAAUCCUGGAGCUCAACUCCAGAACUGCCUUUGAUACUGAAGAUCUCGAGUCCGGGAGAGGUGAGUGGAACUGCGAGUGUAGAGGUGAAAUUCGUAGAUAUUCGCAAGAACACCAGUGGCGAAGGCGGCUCACUGGCCCGGUACUGACGCUGAGGCACGAAAGCGUGGGGAGCAAACAGGAUUAGAUACCCCUGUAGUCC